rnacentral:rRNA from 1 species
UACGAAGGGGGCUAGCGUUUGCUCGGAAUCACUGGGCGUAAAGCGCACGUAGGCGGAUCGCUAAGUCAGGGGUGAAAUCCUGGAGCUCAACUCCAGAACUGCCCUUGAUACUGGCGAUCUCGAGUCCGGGAGAGGUGAGUGGAACUGCGAGUGUAGAGGUGAAAUUUCGUAGAUAUUCGCAAGAACACCAGUGGCGAAAGGCGGCUCACUGGCCCGGUACUGACGCUGAGGUGCGAAAGCGUGGGGGAGCAAACAGG